rnacentral:rRNA from 1 species
CAGUCGCCGCGGGAAUACAGAGGGUGCGAGCGUUAAUCGGAUUUACUGGGCGUAAAGCGUGCGUAGGCGGCUUCUUAAGUCGGAUGUGAAAUCCCUGAGCUUAACCUUGGGGCUGCAUUCGAGACGGGUAUUCUAGAGUUUGGAAGAGGGUCGUGGAAUUCCCAGUGUAGAGGUGAAAUUCGUAGAUAUUGGGAAGAACACCGGUGGCGAAGGCGGCGACCUGGUCCUUGACUGACGCUGAGGCGCGAAAGCGUGGGGAGCAAACAGGAUUAGAUACCCCAGUAGUCCCUGUCUCUUAUAC